GAAAUCUGGACAGAAUAGAGACCUUUUAGCCAAAAUGGGGGCAGAAAUCACUUUUGCUCCAGAUGGCUCAGCACAGCUUCGCCUAGGUGAGGAGACCUCCCCAAUGAUCCUGUCCUUAGCAGUGCCAAGAGAGGAAGAAUGGA